AGAUUAGACAUACCCAUCUUCUAAACUAGAAAAUUUUCCUCAGUUCCUGAGAUUUAAGGCUCUCUUGAAUAUAAAUUGUUGUUGAUGGGUUCUUUCUUACUAUCAGUUUUGUUGGUCUAUAAGGAAAACCUUGGAAGCAUACAAUGGAAGGUAAGGAAAAACCUCGAGUUCCCUUCUUUGAAUCAUGAAAAGGUAUUUGUGUUCUUUUCACUGAGUGGGUAGUUGAUUACUCAAGCAUGACGGUUAUGCGCAUUCUUUCAGGUGGAUGUUGCAUAUAGGAGGAUUGGAACUGCAUAUUUCAGAUUCAAGCAUCUGGAUGAUGGAAUAUACGAAGCUGUUGAAAUUUCAGGAUGAAGUCAAGCACAUUUCUCUAAUGAAGCCAAAGAUUUGUAUUUUCAGCAUUAUUGUAAUUGUCAUUGAUUGAAUGAAUUGGAUUGUAAUUGAUUGUAAUUGUAAUUGAUUGAAUAAAGGAUUAUAAUUGUAAUUGAUUAAA